UACGUAGGGCGCAAGCGUUGUCCGGAAUUAUUGGGCGUAAAGAGCUCGUAGGCGGCUUGUCACGUCGGGGUGUGAAAGCUCGGGGCUUAACCCCGGGUCUGCAUUCGAUACGGGCUGGCUGGAGUGUGGUAGGGGAGAUCGGAAUUCCUGGUGUAGCGGUGAAAUGCGCAGAUAUCAGGAGGAACACCGGUGGCGAAGGCGGGAUCCUGGGCCAGUACUGACGCUGAGGAGCGAAAGCGUGGGGAGCAAACAGG
rnacentral:rRNA from 1 species